rnacentral:sRNA from 1 species
AAACCCUACGGAAUGCUCAGGUCCGCCGCAUCUCCUGGGUCCGUGGGGUUCGGCCGGUCCGGGGGCGGUGACGAGUGGCCUCCUCAUGACACCGCUUCCGGCCGGCCACCUC